UGGCUCAGGAUGAACGCUGGCGGCGUGCUUAACACAUGCAAGUCAAGCGGAGAUUGUUAAAUGAGAGCUCGGCAGGAAUUUAACAAUCUUAGCGGCGGACGGGUGAGUAACGUGUGGGCAACCUGCCCUGUACUGUGGAAUAAUCACUGGAAACGGUGACUAAUACCGCAUGUCAUUGCGAGAGGGCAUCCUCUUGCAAGAAAAGGAUUUAUUCGGUACAGGAUGGGCCCGCAUCUGAUUAGCUAGUUGGUGAGAUAACAGCCCACCAAGGCAACGAUCAGUAGCCGACCUGAGAGGGUGAUCGGCCACAUUGGGACUGAGACACGGCCCAAACUCCUACGGGAGGCAGCAGUGGGGAAUAUUGCACAAUGGGCGAAAGCCUGAUGCAGCAACGCCGCGUGAAGGAUGAAGGGUUUCGGCUCGUAAACUUCUAUCAACAGGGACGAAAAAAUGACGGUACCUGAAUAAGAAGCCCCGGCUAACUACGUGCCAGCAGCUGC
rnacentral:rRNA from 1 species